rnacentral:rRNA from 1 species
GACGAACGCUGGCGGCGCGCUUAACACAUGCAAGUCGAGCGAUGAAACUUGAACAGAACUCUUCGGGGCGGAGAUAAAGUGGGUUAGCGGCGGAGGGGUGAGUAACACGUGAGUAACCAGCCUUAGAAUUUGGGAGAGCAACGGGAAACCAGGAUUAAUACCAAAUAAAAUCGUAAUGACACAUGUAAAAACGAUCAAAACUCCGGGGGUCUAAGAUGGACUUGCGUCCGAUUAGCUAGUUGGUAGGGUAAAAGCCUACCAAGGCGGAGAGGGGGAGCCGGACUGUGAGGCUGAACGGCCACAUUGGAACCGAGAGACGGUACAAGUGCCUACGGGAGGACGCAGUGGGGAAUAUUGCACAAUGGGCGGAACGCUGAUGCUGCGACGCCGCGUGAACGAAGCAGGCUUUCGAGGCGUAAAGUUCUUUUAUAUGGGAAGAUAAUGACGGUACCAUAAGAAAAAGCCCCGGCUAACUACGUG